AGGCAGCAGUGGGGAAUAUUGCACAAUGGGCGCAAGCCUGAUGCAGCGACGCCGCGUGAGGGAUGACGGCCUUCGGGUUGUAAACCUCUUUCACCAGGGACGAAGCGAAAGUGACGGUACCUGGAGAAGAAGCACCGGCCAACUACGUGCCAGCAGCCGCGGUAAUACGUAGGGUGCGAGCGUUGUCCGGAAUUACUGGGCGUAAAGAGUUCGUAGGCGGUUUGUCGCGUCGUUCGUGAAAACUUGGGGCUUAACUCCAAGCGUGCGGGCGAUACGGGCAGACUUGAGUACUACAGGGGAGACUGGAAUUCCUGGUGUAGCGGUGAAAUGCGCAGAUAUCAGGAGGAACACCGGUGGCGAAGGCGGGUCUCUGGGUAGUAACUGACGCUGAGGAACGAAAGCGUGGGUAGCGAACAGGAUUAGAUACCCUGGUAGUCCACGCUGUAAACGGUGGGUACUAGGUGUGGGUUCCUUUUCACGGGAUCCGUGCCGUAGCUAACGCAUUAAGUACCCCGCCUGGGGAGUACGGCCGCAAGGCUAAAACUCAAAGGAAUUGACGGGGGCCCGCACAAGCGGCGGAGCAUGUGGAUUAAUUCGAUGCAACGCGAAGA
rnacentral:rRNA from 1 species